UGGGGAAUUUUGGACAAUGGGCGCAAGCCUGAUCCAGCAAUGCCGCGUGCAGGAUGAAGGCCUUCGGGUUGUAAACUGCUUUUGUACGGAACGAAACGGCUCUGGUUAAUACCUGGGGCUAAUGACGGUACCGUAAGAAUAAGCACCGGCUAACUACGUGCCAGCAGCCGCGGUAAUACGUAGGGUGCGAGCGUUAAUCGGAAUUACUGGGCGUAAAGCGUGCGCAGGCGGUUAUAUAAGACAGAUGUGAAAUCCCCGGGCUCAACCUGGUACCUGCAUUUGUGACUGUACAGCUAGAGUACGGUAGAGGGGGAUGGAAUUCCGCGUGUAGCAGUGAGAUGCGUAGAUAUGCGGAGGAACACCGAUGGCGAAGGCACUCCCCUGGACCUGUAAUGACGGUCAUGCACGAAAGCGUGAGGAGCAAACA
rnacentral:rRNA from 1 species